rnacentral:rRNA from 1 species
UACGUAGGUGGCAAGCGUUGUCCGGAUUUAUUGGGUUUAAAGGGUGCGUAGGCGGCUUUGUAAGUCAGUGGUGAAAUAUGGCAGCUCAACUGUCAAGGUGCCAUUGAUACUGCAGAGCUUGAGUACAGAUGAGGUAGGCGGAAUUGACGGUGUAGCGGUGAAAUGCUUAGAUAUCGUCAAGAACACCUAUAGCGAAGGCGGCCUGCUGGGCAGUAGCUGACACUGAGGCGCGACAGCGUGGGGAGCAAACAGG